rnacentral:rRNA from 1 species
CAAUGUUUUGCAUGCAUCUCAUCUUGUUGGCAAGAUUGAUCUCGUGAACAGUUGGACCAAUAACAUCUACAGCUAUCAUUUGGCCAGCUAACAUUGCUCUCAUCUAGCCUCACUUUUCCAGUUGCAGCUAGGAUGUGGCUGCUGCUUCAGUUGAUACUAUUUGGAGUUCCUCCAGCCUCUGUCAUCAAAAACGUCCCGUCAAGUUAGCCCCCCCCAAUAAUGGGACUCCACUUCACCGCGUAAAACGCCCCUUUCCUUUUGUUGGGACGCCCCCCCUUCUUUCUUCAACCACACACCUGUGCACCAAAGGGACGGCGGGUGGAUAACGCACGCCGUCUCGCUUUAACAAGCUCAAAAGUCUAUUUUGAAUGUCAUUUAUUCGGGCUAGCCCCGAUGUAACUUAAACAUAACAACUUUCAACAACGGAUCUCUUGGCUCUCGCAUCGAUGAAGAACGCAGCGAAAUGCGAUAAGUAAUGUGAAUUGCAGAAUUCAGUGAAUCAUCGAAUCUUUGAACGCACCUUGCGCCCAUUGGUAUUCCGAUGGGCAUGCCUGUUUGAGUGUCUUGAAAUCAUCAAGCCCGUUCGGUUUCACCGCCGAGCGGGGUUGGACUUGGGGGCUUGCCGCUUUGCCGCGGCUCCCCUUAAAUGCAUCGGUUUCGGGUCUCUGUGGGAGUCACCCCUUGGGCGUUGUAUAACCCUCGCUGUCUGGGAACUCCACGCGACGUCCGCGUCGUUGAAGGGCCUUGAAGAAACCUCGACCUGCUGUAGAGUGGCGGUCAAUGUUAAAUCGAGAUCUGACCUCAAAUCAGGUAGGACUACCCGCUGAACUUAAGCAUAUCAAUAAGCGGAGGA